UCUGCAUCUUACUCUUAUUACCAAUUCUGUGCUAGUCCACCCAUUUAUAGGUUUGCACUUAGUACAGAGGUGCAGAAAAUGAUCAUGCAAGGCACUCGGAGGCUAUAGUUUCAUGCAAGAUUUAUUGUAAGGAUAUAUAAGAUCAGGAGACAAACUUAGCUGCUUCAGGGUCUCAAUAUUCUCAAAUCAUGGGCACAGUGUUGUAUUAUUUCAGACAAUGACAGAGAGCUGAGUACAUCUCCUCUACCUAGCAUAGUGCCUAGCAUAUAGGAAGCACUUAAACAUUUGUUGACUGAAUGAUUGUAGAAACUUUCUAAAGAUGGAGUGGUGACUUGAAUUUUUACAUAUGUGGCAUAUGCUACUUAUAAAUAAUGGCUAUGGAGUUGUCCUCCACAAUAAUGAGAAGCUGGAGUACACUCAGAGGGGAGAGGGUCCAGGCUAUAGAGAGGACUAGAAAUGAUACUGCAAGGACUGAAGAAACUGGGUAUGUUUAGUAUGAAAAGGACAUGUUUUGGGGGGAGAGAGGGACAUCAUAAUUUAAUUAUUUAAAGAGCUGCUAUGCAGAAUAAGGAUUAGAUAUUCUAUUUGACCCCAAAGGGCAGAACUAUGAACACUAGAUAUAUAAAAAGAAUCCAAUCUGGGGCUGACGUAAGGCAAAACUUCCUAACAAUUAUAUUUAUUCUAGUUUGGAAUGGGUUGCUUCAAGAAGUAAUGGGCUCCUCUUCAUUGGAAGUCUUUCUGUAAAUCAAUUCAUCUAUGAUUUCAGUUCUGAUUUGGCUAUGUAUAAAUAUUUUAAAUAGGAGAGGAAGUAUGAAAUAGUCCUUUCACAGAGAAAAAAACACCCAAAACUAAAGAAACUUUUUAAGAUGCAAGGAUGAAUUAACGGCAACCAUCAUGUAGUAGAAAGAAUGAUGGUUCAAAUCCUAUCUCAACUAAUUAGGGACUUUCCUAUGUACACCUUUCUCCUAGAGACUUCCCAGUCGGGUUAUCUGUAGGAUACUUCAGCCUAAAUCAUUGAUCUAGGGCAAGGCAAUGAGAGCUCCUUCUCUUCCUUCAUUAGUUCCCAAAUAGGAAAGAAUCUAUCUCUAUUUGAAUCCUGAAGUCAUCAUACUCCUUCUGCUUUCAAGCCUUGUGCUGUCCUGAAACAUAUUUUACUAGUUGAACUAUCCCAAUGGCUUGGCCCAAAAGGCUUUUCUGGGCCUGUGUUCCAAUGCCAUUUACAACAUAUAUUCAGAUCUCAGACUAUACUUUUGUCUUUUCCUCCCUGCAAACCUUUGUAGCACUGCCAUAGCUCCACAUUUGCUAGCAGAAUUGACUGAACCAAAGUAAUAGGCAAAGAGCCAAUGGGCACUGGAAACCUUUCCUUACAAAAAUACAUAAGAAUUACAACGAUAACAUUCUCAUCUCCAAAUAUCAGCUUAUUUUACAGAUGAAGAAACUGAAGCAAACAGGGUAAAAUGACUUGCUAGCAUCACACAGCCUGUAAGAGUCAAGCCAGAUUUGAUCUCAGGAAGAUGAGACUUCCUGACUCCAAGUUUGGCACUCUAUACACUGCACCACCUUGCUGCCCACUCUAUAAUUUUUUCUACCAUUUUUUUUCUUUUCGAGUACAAACUAGUUUUUAUAACUAUUGUUUAUGUAGGAAUGUUGAUAUCUGGUAAUGCUAGUCCACUUUCAUUUUGAAAAAAAGUUUUCCUCUUAUUUAUGAAUUUAUCCCUCCACCAAUACCCUAUUAAGGUAUCACUUUUAAGAAAGAUUAAAAAAGAUCAGCAAAAACAAUUAACACAUUGACUGUAUCUGAUAGUGUAUGCAGUGCUCCACAACUAUGGUUUCAUACCUUCGCAAAGAAGGGAGGUAGGCUUAUUCUUUUGUUUGAAAUCUAGGGCCAUGCCUGGGUAUUGGUUUACUUUUUGCGAGUUGUUAUCCCUCUUAAAAAUAUUUUUUUCUGGUUUUAUGAGAGUACUGAUGUUUUGAGAAUGCAUGAAACAUCUAAGUCAAUUUGGCAAGUAUUGACAAUUUUUGUUAUCUGAUUGACCUAAUCAUGCGCAGCGGAUGAACAUUUUCAUUCUUAAUUUGUUAAAAUCAGUUAGAAAUUAUUUAAGCCUAUUUGUCUUCAUAAAUUAACGUUCAGAUACUUAAUAUUUUGAUGUAAUUAGAAAGGCUAUUUCUCCAUCACUUUCCUUUGAUUCAUGAGAAUGAUUCUGUGAGAACAUCUCAUAUCUUGCUAUUUUAGCAGACAUUUAUUUUCUUUUUAUUUCUUAAGUUUUAAGGAUAAUCACAUUAUAUACAAAUGGAAAUAUUUUCACCUCUUUAUUUCCCAUGCUUAUUUUUCAUGUCUUAGUUACUAUUGCUAAGAUUUGUAAAAUUGCUAAUAGGAAAGCCAAAGUCUUGUUUAAUACCUAUAUGAGUAGGAAUGCUGCUAGAAUUUCUCCUUUAUAUGUACUAGCUUAUGGUUUUAAAUACUUUUACAAAUCAUAACAUGGGACCUUUUAUCCCUGUAUUUUCCCCAUUAAAAAUGUCUUUAAUCAAAAAUAUUUUCUCUACACUUAGUAAUAUAAUUGUAUAGUUGAUUUUCUCCACUUGUUGAGGAAAUGUUUUAUAAGAUUAUUUUCUUGGUGUCAUUCCAUCCUCAUAUGCUAUUUAUAAAUCUUUUUUUGCUAUCACUCCACCCCUGCAUGGUAUUUUAAAAUCUUUCUUCAACCUAAUAGCUGUUUGCAUUUAAAAUAUCUCCUGUUUUCACAGAGCACGUAUUCUGUGGGCUAAGGGUUCAAGGUCUAUAACUCAUUUUGUAAAGGUCUUUUUUUUCCCAAUUUAUGUUAUCCUCUUGUUCUCCUUGAAAUCUGGAGUGAUCCUAAUGUUUGUUUAUUGGUUAGUAAUUUUUUCACUUCUUGUAGCACACACUAGCAUUUCUAUUAUUGUAUUGUUGCACUUUAAAUAUGAGGAGCUUCUACCAGUGUUGAAUUUGGUGUUUUUCCUUCUGGACUGAUCAAUAAAUAUUUAUUGACUGAAAACACACAAAAAAAGUACCUUACCCUCAAGCUUACAUGCUUGUUGUAUCUUGUGGAUUACUUCUAAUUAUGUUUCAUUGGUUAUUUUCACCAGUUCUGGAAAAAAAAUUCAAUACUUCCCUGAAAGUGUUCAAAUUCUCUUGUUCUUCUAAGUUCUCCAGUGUUUACAAUCCUGACUACAGUAUUGUGAUUUAUUUUAUAGGUCCAUCACUUAGGUCUGUCUUUUCCAAAAGUUCGGAUAAUUCAACAUGUCCUUUUUGGAGGGAGCUUGUAUUCCCUGCUGCUCCACAACUGUACAUAAUUCUUUUUUCCAGAGUAGUGUGUACUAUCUCUUGCAUCUUUGGAUCUUGUAUUUUCUUUUGUAAUCUACCUACAUUAUUUUUUCUUAUUUUUGCAUCUCUUCUAACCUAAUUUUCUUGUACAAUCUGUUAGUACUGUAGCUAUUAUUUGACCUUGUAAUUUUCUAGGCAUUGCCAAUUUCACUUGGUUGUGUCUUUUAUCUAUGGGAAUUGAGUGGACCACACCAACUCCAUCUUGUGACUCAAUUCUUGAUCUAGCUCAGUUCCCUUUCUAUUCAAUUAUGGGUCUAGUCCAUUUGUGAAAAAACUUUAUUGCCCUGUUUGAACCUAGCCCAGUGUGGCUGGGAAGCUGAACUACCCCUACUUGUUGCUUAGAGACCCUUAACCAAGGACCUUGGUUAAGCUGACCAGAAAUCCAGUCAGAUCCAAAGAAUGAUCCAAGGAGUUUUCUCACAAUUAUACAUCUUAUUUGAAAACUGGCCCUGUACUGGUCAACCAGUUACUGUUUCACUGUUCCUUUUAUUGAAUACAGAUACUUGGGGGGAGUGGGACACCUCUUUUUUCCUAAUUUCAAGGAACUGCAACUGUUUACUUUCUCCCAACUUGGAAAGCCCCUAAUCUUUCCUUUAAUUAGAAAUCAGAUUACCCAAUCUUGUAUCCUGGUUUAUAUCUGGUUUUCUUUUAAUGCAUAAAAAUCUCUCUCUCCCUGUAUUUGGGGUCCAGUGCCAAGCUGAGGAGGUAUGGUCCCAAUUUGACAUGCAAUUAGCACGUGCUGCUUAAUAAAGCAAUAUGCUCAGAAGCUUGAACUUUGGUUUCCUCAGUUAUUUCAGAAUUCAUCUGUUACAUAUGCAAUGGGAGAACAAAUCCUUAACUGUUUUUUUUUCACAAUAUCUUUUUCCUUCUCUCAUAGUUUUUGGUAUUUUACCUGAUUCAAUUGUUAUUAUUAAGUAUUUUCAGUUGUAUCAGCCCUGUUAUUUUGUUCAUAUUAAAUUAUGGUUAGUUUUUUUUUUCUUAUGAUAGAGGAACCUGACUCCACUCAAUCCUCUCAAUUUAGACAUCUAGGUUUAAAUCUUUUCUGUCACUACCUAUGUGACCUUGGAAAAAUCAAACAGUAUAGGCUUGUUUCCUCAUUUGUAAAAUGGGGUUGGACAAUAUGGCUUCUGAGGUUCCUUGACAUUUUAAAUCUAUGAUGCUUGACAAUAAUUUUAUAAGCACACAUCCCACCUCACACUUUUUUAACUUUACUUCUAAAAAAAAGAUGGUCAACUCACUUAAAAACAAUUAAAACUAAUGAUCAACUUCCUAACUGUAUUUGUUAGUCAUGCCUACUAGUGUGGUAA